AUUGAACGCUGGCGGCAGGCCUAACACAUGCAAGUCGAGCGAGCGGCGGACGGGUGAGUAAUGUCUGGGAAACUGCCUGAUGGAGGGGGAUAACUACUGGAAACGGUAGCUAAUACCGCAUACCAUCAGAUGUGCCCAGAUGGGAUUAGCUGGUAGGUGGGGUAACGGCUCACCUAGGCGACGAUCCCUAGCUGGUCUGAGAGGUGGACCGGCCACCCUGGAACUGGGACACGGUCCAUACUACUACGGGAGGCACCAGUGGGGAAUAUUGGACAAUGGUGGCAAGCCUGAUGCAGCCAUGCCGCGUGUGUGAAGAAGGCCUUGGGGUUGUAAAGCCCUUUCAGCGGGGAGGCGUUACCCGCAGAAGAAGCACCGGCUAACUCCGUGCCAGCAGCCGCGGUAAUUC
rnacentral:rRNA from 1 species